UUUGGGGGGGCCUACCAUGCAAGUCGAGCGGAACAAGUUAUCUGAGCCUUCCGGGGACGAUAACGGCGCCGAGCGGCGGACGGGUGAGUAAUGCCCAGGAAAUUGCCCUGAUGUGGGGGAUAACCAUUGGAAACGAUGGCUAAUACCGCAUGAUGCCUAGGGGCCAGAGAGGGGGACCUUCGGGCCUCUCGCGUCAGGAUAUGCCUAGGUGGGAUUAGCUAGUUGGUGAGGUAAGGGCUCACCAGGGCGACGAUCCCUAGCUGGUCUGAGAGGAUGAUCAGCCACCCUGGAACUGAGACACGGUCCACACUCCUACGGGAGGCAGCAGUGGGGAAUAUUGCACAAUGGGCGCAAGCCUGAUGCACCCAUGCCGCGUGUGUGAAGAAGGCCUUCGGGUUGUAAAGCACUUUCAGUCGUGAGGAAGGUGGUGUAGUUAAUAGCUGGAUCAUUUGACGUUAGCGACAGAAGAAGCACCGGCUAACUCCGUGCCAGCAGCCUCUGUAAUACGGAGGGUGCGAGCGUUAAUCCGAAUUACUGGCCGUAAAGCGCAGGCAGGUGGUUUGUUAAGUCAGAUGGGAAAGCCCGGGACUCUACCUCAGAAUAGCAUAUGUAACUGGCAGACUAGAGUACUGUAGAGGGGGAGUAGAAUUUCGAGGUGUCGCGGUGAAGUGCGUAGAGAUCUGAAGGAAUACCGGUGGCGAAGGCGGCCCCCUGGACAGAUACUGACACUCAGAUGCGAAAAGCGUGGGGAGCAAAACAGGAUUAGAUACCCGUGGUAGUCCACGCCGUAAACGAUGUAUACUUGGAGGUGGUGGCCUUGAGCCGUGGCUUUCGGAGAUAACGCGUUAAGUAGACCGCCUGGGGAGUACGGUCGCAAGAUUAAAACUCAAAUGAAUUGACGGGGGCCCGCACAAGCGGUGGAGCAUGUGGUUUAAUUUGAUGCAACGCGAAGAACCUUACCUCCUCUUGACAUCCAGAGAACUUUCCAGAGAUGGAUUGGUUCCUUUGGGAACUCUGAGACAGGUGCUGCAUGGCUGUCGUCAGCUCGUGUUGUGAAAUGUUGGGUUAAGUCCCGCAACGAGCGCAACCCUUAUCCUUGUUUGCCAGCGAGUAAGGUCGGGAACUCCAGGGAGACUGCCGGUGAUAAACCGGAGGAAGGUGGGGAUGACGUCAAGUCAUCAUGGCCCUUACGAGUAGGGCUACCCACGUGCUACAAUGGCGCAUCCAAAGGGCGGCCAACUUGCGAAAGUGAGCGAAUCCCAAAAAGUGCGUCGUAGUCCGGAUUGGAGUCUGCAACUCGACUCCAUGAAGUCGGAAUCGUUAGUAAUCGUGGAUCAGAAUGCCACGGUGAAUACGUUCCCGGGCCUUGUCCCCACCCCCCGCCCCACCAUGGGAGUGGGCCGCAAAAGAAGUAGGUAGUCUAACCUUCGAUGGCACGCGUACACUGCUCGAGUUCGGCCCCCU
rnacentral:rRNA from 1 species